AGAACGAACGCUGGCGGCAUGCCUAACACAUGCAAGUCGAACGCUCUUGAGGCUUCGGUUUCAAGGGAGUGGCGCACGGGUGAGUAGCGCGUGGGAACCUGCCCUGUUGUGGGGGAUAACCGAGGGAAACUUUGGCUAAUACCGCAUGCGCCCGGGGAAACCCGGGGAAAGAUUUAUCGCAGCAGGAGGGGCCCGCGUCGGAUUAGGUAGUUGGUAGGGUAACGGCCUACCAAGCCUUUGAUCCGUAGCUGGUCUGAGAGGAUGAUCAGCCAUACUGGGACUGAGACACGGCCCAGACUCCUACGGGAGGCAGCAGUGGGGAAUAUUGGACAAUGGGCGCAAGCCUGAUCCAGCAAUGCCGCGUGAGUGAUGAAGGCCUUAGGGUUGUAAAGCUCUUUCGCCCGCGACGAUGAUGACGGUAGCGGGAGAAGAAGCCCGGCUAACUCGUGCCAGCAGCCGC
rnacentral:rRNA from 1 species